rnacentral:rRNA from 1 species
GGCACGAUAUUGAAGUUACGGCGGCGACGGAUUGGCUCGCGUCCGAUUAGCUAGUUGGCGGGGUAACGGCCCACCAAGGCUACGAUCGGUAGGGGUUCUGAGAGGAAGGCCCCCCACAAUGGGACUGAGACACGGCCCAUACUCCUACGGGAGGCAGCAGUGAGGAAUAUUGGUCAAUGGGCGGAAGCCUGAACCAGCCAUGCCGCGUGCGGGAAGGAGGCCCUAUGGGCUGUGAACCGCUUUUGCCUGGGGGCAAUAAGGGCGUCGCGCACGUCCGAUGAGAGUACCAGGCGAAUAAGCAUCGGCUAACUCCGUGCCAGCAGCCGCGGUAAUACGGGGGAUGCGAGCGUUAUCCGGAUUCAUUGGGUUUAAAGGGUGCGUAGGCUGUGCGUCAAGUCGGGGGUGAAAUUCCGGUGCUCAACACCGGGGCUGCCCUUGAUACUGUCGCGCUGGAGUGCGGAUGCCGCCGGAGGAAUGAGUGGUGUAGCGGUGAAAUGCUUAGAUAUCACUCAGAACACCGAUUGCGAAGGCAUCUGGCGAAUCCGUAACUGACGCUGAGGCACGAAAGCGUGGGGAUAGAACAGGAUUAGAUACCCUGGUAUUCCACGCCGUAAACGAUGAUGGCUAACCGCCGGCGACACACUGUCGGUGG